GGUUAAGCGACUAAGCGUACACGGUGGAUGCCCUGGCAGUCAGAGGCGAUGAAGGACGUGCUAAUCUGCGAUAAGCGUCGGUAAGGUGAUAUGAACCGUUAUAACCGGCGAUUUCCGAAUGGGGAAACCCAGUGUGAUUCGUCACACUAUCAUUAACUGAAUUCAUAGGUUAAUGAGGCGAACCGGGGGAACUGAAACAUCUAAGUACCCCGAGGAAAAGAAAUCAACCGAGAUUCCCCCAGUAGCGGCGAGCGAACGGGGAGCAGCCCAGAGCCUGAAUCAGUGUGUGUGUUAGUGGAAGCGUCUGGAAAGGCGCGCGAUACAGGGUGACAGCCCCGUACACAAAAAUGCACAUAUUGUGAGCUCGAAGAGUAGGGCGGGACACGUGGUAUCCUGUCUGAAUAUGGGGGGACCAUCCUCCAAGGCUAAAUACUCCUGACUGACCGAUAGUGAACCAGUACCGUGAGGGAAAGGCGAAAAGAACCCCGGCGAGGGGAGUGAAAAAGAACCUGAAACCGUGUACGUACAAGCAGUGGGAGCACGCUUAGGCGUGUGACUGCGUACCUUUUGUAUAAUGGGUCAGCGACUUAUAUUCUGUAGCAAGGUUAACCGAAUAGGGGAGCCGAAGGGAAACCGAGUCUUAACUGGGCGUUAAGUUGCAGGGUAUAGACCCGAAACCCGGUGAUCUAGCCAUGGGCAGGUUGAAGGUUGGGUAACACUAACUGGAGGACCGAACCGACUAAUGUUGAAAAAUUAGCGGAUGACUUGUGGCUGGGGGUGAAAGGCCAAUCAAACCGGGAGAUAGCUGGUUCUCCCCGAAAGCUAUUUAGGUAGCGCCUCGUGAAUUCAUCUCCGGGGGUAGAGCACUGUUUCGGCAAGGGGGUCAUCCCGACUUACCAACCCGAUGCAAACUGCGAAUACCGGAGAAUGUUAUCACGGGAGACACACGGCGGGUGCUAACGUCCGUCGUGAAGAGGGAAACAACCCAGACCGCCAGCUAAGGUCCCAAAGUCAUGGUUAAGUGGGAAACGAUGUGGGAAGGCCCAGACAGCCAGGAUGUUGGCUUAGAAGCAGCCAUCAUUUAAAGAAAGCGUAAUAGCUCACUGGUCGAGUCGGCCUGCGCGGAAGAUGUAACGGGGCUAAACCAUGCACCGAAGCUGCGGCAGCGACACUGUGUGUUGUUGGGUAGGGGAGCGUUCUGUAAGCCUGUGAAGGUGUGCUGUGAGGCAUGCUGGAGGUAUCAGAAGUGCGAAUGCUGACAUAAGUAACGAUAAAGCGGGUGAAAAGCCCGCUCGCCGGAAGACCAAGGGUUCCUGUCCAACGUUAAUCGGGGCAGGGUGAGUCGACCCCUAAGGCGAGGCCGAAAGGCGUAGUCGAUGGGAAACAGGUUAAUAUUCCUGUACUUGGUGUUACUGCGAAGGGGGGACGGAGAAGGCUAUGUUGGCCGGGCGACGGUUGUCCCGGUUUAAGCGUGUAGGCUGGUUUUCCAGGCAAAUCCGGAAAAUCAAGGCUGAGGCGUGAUGACGAGGCACUACGGUGCUGAAGCGACAAAUGCCCUGCUUCCAGGAAAAGCCUCUAAGCAUCAGGUAACAUCAAAUCGUACCCCAAACCGACACAGGUGGUCAGGUAGAGAAUACCAAGGCGCUUGAGAGAACUCGGGUGAAGGAACUAGGCAAAAUGGUGCCGUAACUUCGGGAGAAGGCACGCUGAUAUGUAGGUGAAGCGACUUGCUCGUGGAGCUGAAAUCAGUCGAAGAUACCAGCUGGCUGCAACUGUUUAUUAAAAACACAGCACUGUGCAAACACGAAAGUGGACGUAUACGGUGUGACGCCUGCCCGGUGCCGGAAGGUUAAUUGAUGGGGUUAGCGGUAACGCGAAGCUCUUGAUCGAAGCCCCGGUAAACGGCGGCCGUAACUAUAACGGUCCUAAGGUAGCGAAAUUCCUUGUCGGGUAAGUUCCGACCUGCACGAAUGGCGUAAUGAUGGCCAGGCUGUCUCCACCCGAGACUCAGUGAAAUUGAACUCGCUGUGAAGAUGCAGUGUACCCGCGGCAAGACGGAAAGACCCCGUGAACCUUUACUAUAGCUUGACACUGAACAUUGAGCCUUGAUGUGUAGGAUAGGUGGGAGGCUUAGAAGUGUGGACGCCAGUCUGCAUGGAGCCGACCUUGAAAUACCACCCUUUAAUGUUU
rnacentral:rRNA from 1 species